CUACGGGAGGCAGCAGUGGGGAAUUUUUGGCAAUGGGGGAAACCCUGACCAAGCAACGCCGCGUGGGUGAUGAAGUAUCUCGGUACGUAAAACCCUUUCGACGGGGACGAAACCGCAAGGUUGACGGUACCCGUAGAAGAAGCCCCGGCUAACUCCGUGCCAGCAGCCGCGGUAAUACGGGGGGGGCAAGCGUUGUUCGGAAUUACUGGGCGUAAAGGGCGCGUAGGCGGCUCGCUAAGUCAGGUGUGAAAACUCUGGGCUCAACCCAGAGCCUGCACUUGAAACUGACGGGCUGGAGUUCUGGAGGGGAAAGCGGAAUUCCUGGUGUAGCGGUGAAAUGCGUAGAUAUCAGGAGGAACACCGGUGGCGAAGGCGGCUUUCUGGACAGAAACUGACGCUGAGGCGCGAAAGCUAGGGGAGCAAACAGGAUUAGAUACCCCGGUAGU
rnacentral:rRNA from 1 species